UACAGAGGGUGCGAGCGUUAAUCGGAGUUACUGGGCGUAAAGGGCGCGUAGGCGGCUUUAUAAGUUAGAUGUGAAAUCCCUGGGCUUAACCUAGGAAUGGCAUCUAAGACUGUAGAGCUAGAGUAUUGUAGAGGGUAGUGGAAUUUCCGGUGUAGCGGUGAAAUGCGUAGAGAUCGGAAGGAACACCAGUGGCGAAGGCGGCUACCUGGACAAAUACUGACGCUGAGGCGCGAGAGCGUGGGGAGCAAACAGG
rnacentral:rRNA from 1 species